rnacentral:antisense_RNA from 1 species
ACAAGUUUUGGUGACUGCGCUCCUCCAAGCCAGUUACCUCGGUUCAAAGAGUUGGUAGCUCUUAGGACCUUCGAAAAAACCGCCCUGCAAGGCGGUUUUUUCGUUU